CACGUAGGGUGCGAGCGUUGUCCGGAAUUAUUGGGCGUAAAGAGCUCGUAGGCGGUGUGUCGCGUCGGCCGUGAAAACCUGCAGCUUAACUGUGGGCGUGCGGUCGAUACGGGCAUCACUGGAGUUCGGCAGGGGAGACUGGAAUUCCUGGUGUAGCGGUGAAAUGCGCAGAUAUCAGGAAGAACACCGGUGGCGAAGGCGGCAUUCUGGACCGACAUUGACGCUGAGGAGCGAAAGCCAGGGGAGCAAACGGG
rnacentral:rRNA from 1 species